UACGUAGGAGGCAAGCGUUGUCCGGAAUUACUGGGCGUAAAGCGCGUGUAGGUGGUGGGACAAGUCUGCUGUGAAAGCGCCUGGCUUAACCGGGCGAGGUCGGCGGAAACUGUCCGACUCGAGGACGGUAGAGGGGGUGGAAUUCCCGGUGUAGUGGUGAAAUGCGUAGAGAUCGGGAGGAACACCUGUGGCGAAGGCGGCCCCCUGGGCCGGCCCUGACACUGAGACGCGAAGGCGUGGGGAGCGAACGGG
rnacentral:rRNA from 1 species